CACUCACACAAAGAAGGGAAAAGGGAGGAAGAACAGAUAGGAGAGGGAAAGGGAAGGGGGGAAAGAACAACAAAGAGACAACUUUGUUGACUAUCAUUACAACAUAUAUAUUUUUCUUUGUUAUGUGUGUUUUUUUUUUUUCUUUUUCACAAUUUUU
rnacentral:RNase_P_RNA from 13 species